GCCAGCGUAGCUCAAUGGUAGAGCGGGUCCUUCGUAAGGACAAGGCUAUGGGUUCAAAUCCCAUCGCUGGCU
rnacentral:tRNA from 1 species